UACAUGGGGUGCAAACGUUGCUCGGAAUUACUGGGCGUAAAGGGUUCGUAGGUGGCCAACUCAGUCAGACGUGAAAUCCCUCAGCUCAACUGGGGAACUGCGUCUGAUACUAGAUGGCUCGAGUGCAGGAGAGGAACGCGGAAUUCCAGGUGUAGCGGUGAAAUGCGUAGAUAUCUGGAGGAACACCGGUGGCGAAGGCGGCGUUCUGGACUGCAACUGACACUGAGGAACGAAAGCCAGGGGAGCAAACGGG
rnacentral:rRNA from 1 species